UUUUUUUUAGUAUAGCAGAGAUUAUGAUUUGUCUUUUGUCGAAACAAGUACACACUUUCCAAUUUAUUAGGAACAGAAGUAUACCCAAUUAUCAGUUAAUAACUUUAGUUAAAGUUCAGUUUCCAUGAGACUGGGUUAUUUCAGUGGCUAAAGGCUAGAUUUAAAUAUUUCUGAAAAUUUUCUAUGGGGCUUUCAAGCACAAGUGACGAGCAGCUUUGUGGAUGAAAAAUCUUCAUUAAAGCUUGCAGCAAAAGGAUGUAAUCUGACCUAUGUGUGGUUUUACAGCACAACCUUUUUGUCACUCUUUUCUCUUCCUUUUCUCUCUACCCCCAUUUCAGUAUUUCUCCUUUUUUGAAUUAAUUUAUAAAGUCAGCUUUGUAUAUUCUUGGACCAGAGACGCCUGAGUUCUCCACAUACUUUCAAUGUUCAAGAGGUCCUGUGAAGUGCAAUAAUAUUUUUGCUUUGUGCUCAGAUUGGAUUGUCUUUGUGUCCCACAUCAUGUACUGCUUAAAGAACUGGUAUUCAGACAGUGUGGCCCUGAACACCAAACCCAUCCGCUUGUCCAUCUUCCUCAUUGCCGGUGUGUGUGCGGGUUUUCCAGCUCUUAUUUGGGCUCUCAGUGUACUGUACCGCCAUUAUAAGAGCGGAGGUCGAAACUCAGUCUUCGCCGUCUUCCUCCUCCUCAGUGACCUGCUGGAGCUGAUCCUGACUCCAUUCCUUGUAACAUACAUAUUCAAAGAGGACUUUAAUCCAUGUGGAAUCAUUUUUGGACUAUUGCUUGGAGCCAGGCUGUUUGGGCAACUGCUUCACCAGACAGUGGCGUUAGAGAGCAUUUGCCAAAGAUAUCGAUUACUUGCUGAUGUUUUCUCUCCUCCCUGCUCUAUCGUAUUCUGCCUCAUUUUUCUUCUAGCAGUUGGAUGUCAUUUCAUACAUGAUAUUACAUAUGUGAUAACUACAAUUGUAUGCAUAUUGCCUGUGAUUGUGUGUGCAGUCACAUACAUAUUAACUUGGAAAGUACCUCAUGACAGCGACCAGGCCAUAGACAGAAAGCCUGGUGUUCUGGUUGUAACUGUUGCCAUGUUUACAUUGCUACUUAUAUACAUACCAUUUUUCUUGACUGUUUUUACUGACAUUCCUUUCAUUUUGGACUGUUUAACAAGUGUGAGAUUAAUCUCUGAUCCCCUCCUGUGUGUACUCAUCUGCAAGGAGCUCGGUUUCAAUUCACAUACAGAUCGUACAGAAGGAUCAAGUGCAUUAAAUUAGCAGCUUUGAAUUAGCAGGACAAACAGUAGGUUGUGUUUUGUGAUAUUAUUGCAGUGUGUAUAUUAUCAGUUUUGCAGAAAUGGAGGUCAACAUACAGAAAUUAUUUACACCAGUCUACAGGCAUGUAAUUGUGUUCAGUUCUUGCUGGUUUGUUUGUGGUUAAAAUGUUCCCAGACAUGUUAUACACACAUUCUUACAAUCCCUUCUAUAGGAACAAAUUGCUUUUGCAAAAAUAUUUGUGUCUAGUUUCUGUUUCUUUUUUUUUCUUUUCAGGCAGACUUGUUUUUUUCUUUUUUCUUUUUUUAAUAAUUUGUGCAUGGGCUUGUGUGAAUGUGUGUAUUUUUGGAACCAAAACUCAUGCAGUUUGUGUGUGUAUCUUCAGGAGGACAAUGUUGCCUGCAUCUAUUAUUCAGUGUGUUCUGCAAAAUUACAGAGAAGCAGACAAUAAAUUUUUAAAAACAUGA